UACGUAGGUUGCAAGCGUUGUCCGGAAUUAUUGGGCGUAAAGAGCUCGUAGGCGGUCUGUUGCGUCCGCUGUGAAAACCCGGGGCUUAACCCUGGGCUGGCAGUGGAUACGGACAGACUAGAGGUAGGUAGGGGAGAAUGGAAUUCCCGGUGUAGCGGUGAAAUGCGCAGAUAUCAGGAGGAACACCGGUGGCGAAGGCGGGUCUCUGGGCCGAUACUGACGCUGAGGAGCGAAAGCGUGGGGAGCGAACAGG
rnacentral:rRNA from 1 species